rnacentral:rRNA from 1 species
UUUAAUUGAAGAGUUUGAUCAUGGCUCAGAUUGAACGCUGGCGGCAGGCCUAACACAUGCAAGUCGAGCGGUAACAGAGAUAGCUUGCUAUCUGCUGACGAGCGGCGGACGGGUGAGUAAUGCUUGGGAAUAUGCCUUUUGGUGGGGGACAACAGUUGGAAACGACUGCUAAUACCG